GAGUCUAGCAUGUGCGCGAGUCAUUGGGACUCUUAAAACCUAAAGGCGCAAUGAAAGUGAAGGUCCGCCUAGCGCGGACCGAGGGAGGAUGGGUGGUCCCGCGGGACCGCCUCGCACUCCCGGGGCGUCUCGUUCUCAUCGCGAGAAGAGGCGCACCCAGAGCGUACACGCUGGGACCCGAAAGAUGGUGAACUAUGCCUGGUCAGGACGAAGUCAGGGGAAACCCUGAUGGAGGUCCGUAGCGAUUCUGACGUGCAAAUCGAUCGUCGGAACUGGGUAUAGGGGCGAAAGACUAAUCGAACCAUCUAGUAGCUGGUUCCCUCCGAAGUUUCCCUCAGGAUAGCUGGCGCUCGCAUCUCGCGAGUCUCAUUCGGUAAAGCGAAUGAUUAGAGGCAUUGGGGUCGAAACGGCCUCAACCUAUUCUCAAACUUUAAAUGGGUGAGAUCUCCGGCUUGCUUGAACUGUGAAGCCGCGAGAUAUCGGAUCAGAGUGCCAAGUGGGCCACUUUUGGUAAGCAGAACUGGCGCUGUGGGAUGAACCAAACGCAGAGUUAAAGCGCCUAAAUCGACGCUUAUGGGAUACCAUGAAAGGCGUUGGUAACUUAAGACAGCAGGACGGUGGCCAUGGAAGUCGGA
rnacentral:rRNA from 1 species